rnacentral:lncRNA from 1 species
CCCCGCCCCCUUUGUGACCUCAUACAAAGGCUUGGCUAAUACUGCAAAGUUUGGGAUCCACAGUCUACAAAACCCCACAUCCCCUGAGAAUUCUCUCGCCUGCCUUAGGCACUUAGGCUCCGGGAGAUUGCAAAUAACCUGCUUUCUUUCUGUUCCCGGGCUGCGUUCGGACUCCUGUCAGAUAGUAAAUCCUAAGUGGCGUCGGACCCCUGUCAGAGAGUAAAUCUCAAGUAAGGUACCUGCCAUCGGCAGAUUUGAGCUUUCUUCUUGGACACCUAAUACCCACAGUCCUCCAGUAAAUCCCAAGUAAGGUACCUGCCCUCGGCAGAUUUGAGCUUUCUUCUUGGACACCUAAUACCCACAGUCCUCCAGGAUAACUUCAGGAAGUGGGUAUUAAUUCUCACGGUAUAAGUGAAGACAUUAAGCACCAGAGUUUAAGUAGCUUGAUCCACUGAAAGAGAUUCAACUGUGUGGAACCUAUGCCGUGGAGAAUUGCUUUCUGCCAUUGUUAUCGUCCAGCAGUUGCCGAAUAGCUCUGACCUGAGCAAAGCAGUGAAACGCGGUGCUGUUGAGUGGGUUGCCACUGCACCUUUUUCAACUACUCUAGUCUUGUGGAGAAAAUACCCCUUCUAAAUUUUUUCUUCAUUGAAUACUCUCCCUCAGCUCCAGAGUACCAUAUAGAGUUUUCUUGUAUUUUAGAGUUACUGUUUUAUCAAAGUUUACCAGUCUUUUGUAUUACAUUUCUCCUGUCUAAAUCGACUGUGUGGUUUCUACUCAUUAUGGAUAUAGAUUGAUACAAACUCAAUAAAUAUUUUUGAAUGAAUAA